rnacentral:rRNA from 1 species
GAUGAACGCUAGCUACAGGCUUAACACAUGCAAGUCGAGGGGUCUCGAGGAAGCUUGCUUUCGAGAGACGACCGGCGCACGGGUGAGUAACGCGUAUCCAACCUGCCCUUCAUAUUGGGAUAGCCUUCCGAAAGGAAGAUUAAUACCGAAUAACAUAGAGUGAUUGCCUGAUUUCUCUAUGAAAGCUCCGGCGAUGAAGGAUGGGGAUGCGUUCCAUUAGGUAGUAGGCGGGGUAACGGCCCACCUAGCCGACGAUGGAUAGGGGUUCUGAGAGGAAGGUCCCCCACACUGGAACUGAGACACGGUCCAGACUCCUACGGGAGGCAGCAGUGAGGAAUAUUGGUCAAUGGGCGCAAGCCUGAACCAGCCAAGUAGCGUGAAGGAAGACUGCCCUAUGGGUUGUAAACUUCUUUUAUACGGGAACAAACCCUGGUACGUGUACCAGAUUGCGUGUACCGUAUGAAUAAGCAUCGGCUAACUCCGUGCCAGCAGCCGCGGUAAAAC